GACCGCUCCGGCGGCUUAAAGUGCUUAGAGCAUCCGCCUUGGAUGCGGUAGGUCGCGGGUUCGAACCACGGCCGAGUCA